rnacentral:tRNA from 1 species
GGCUCACUGGCGUAACGGUUAGCGCGCCCCCCUCCAUGUAGGCAUGGCACACCGUGCCUAGAUGAAGGGGGAGGUUCGGGUUCAAAUCCCGAGUGGGCCA